CGCGGCCCGUACCGCAAACCGACACGGGUAGUCGAGGGGAGAAACCUAAGGUGAGCGAGAGAACUCUCGUUAAGGAACUCGGCAAGAUGACCCCGUAACUUCGGGAGAAGGGGUGCUGAUCAUACGAUCAGCCGCAGUGAAUAGGCCCAAGCGACUGUUUAUCAAAAACACAGGUCUCUGCAAAAUCGUAAGAUGAAGUAUAGGGGCUGACGCCUGCCCGGUGCUGGAAGGUUAAGAGGAGUGCUUAGCGCAAGCGAAGGUACGAAUUGAAGCCCCAGUAAACGGCGGCCGUAACUAUAACGGUCCUAAGGUAGCGAAAUUCCUUGUCGGGUAAGUUCCGACCCGCACGAAAGGCGUAACGAUUUGGGCACUGUCUCAACGAGAGACUCGGUGAAAUUUUAGUACCUGUGAAGAUGCAGGUUACCCGCGACAGGACGGAAAGACCCCAUGGAGCUUUACUGUAGUUUGAUAUUGAGUGUCUGUACCGCAUGUACAGGAUAGGUAGGAGCCGGAGAAAUCGGAACGCUAGUUUCGAUGG
rnacentral:rRNA from 1 species